rnacentral:ncRNA from 1 species
GAGAGCCAAAUGAAUUGAAAGAUUCAUGUUUGCUUCAGUAAGAGAUCAUAAAAGUUGUAAACUUAUCUACGACUUUCAU